rnacentral:rRNA from 1 species
UACGUAGGGGGCAAGCGUUGUCCGGAUUUAUUGGGCGUAAAGAGCGUGUAGGCGGCUUUACAGGUCCGUUGUGAAAACUCGAGGCUCAACCUCGAGACGCCGGUGGAAACCGUAAAGCUAGAGUCCGGAAGAGGAGAGUGGAAUUCCUGGUGUAGCGGUGAAAUGCGCAGAUAUCAGGAGGAACACCAAUUGCGAAGGCAGCUCGCUGGGACGUUACUGACGCUGAGACGCGAAAGCGUGGGGAGCAAACAGG